AUGAACGCUAGCUACAGGCUUAACACAUGCAAGUCGAGGGGCAGCAUGGUCUUAGCUUGCUAAGGCCGAUGGCGACCGGCGCACGGGUGAGUAACACGUAUCCAACCUGCCGUCUACUCUUGGACAGCCUUCUGAAAGGAAGAUUAAUACAAGAUGGCAUCAUGAGUUCACAUGUUCACAUGAUUAAAGGUAUUCCGGUAGACGAUGGGGAUGCGUUCCAUUAGAUAGUAGGCGGGGUAACGGCCCACCUAGUCUUCGAUGGAUAGGGGUUCUGAGAGGAAGGUCCCCCACAUUGGAACUGAGACACGGUCCAAACUCCUACGGGAGGCAGCAGUGAGGAAUAUUGGUCAAUGGGCGCAGGCCUGAACCAGCCAAGUAGCGUGAAGGAUGACUGCCCUAUGGGUUGUAAACUUCUUUUAUAAAGGAAUAAAGUCGGGUAUGUAUACCCGUUUGCAUGUACUUUAUGAAUAAGGAUCGGCUAACUCCGUGCCAGCAGCCGCGGUAAUACGGAGGAUCCGAGCGUUAUCCGGAUUUAUUGGGUUUAAAGGGAGCGUAGAUGGAUGUUUAAGUCAGUUGUGAAAGUUUGCGGCUCAACCGUAAAAUUGCAGUUGAUACUGGAUAUCUUGAGUGCAGUUGAGGCAGGCGGAAUUCGUGGUGUAGCGGUGAAAUGCUUAGAUAUCACGAAGAACUCCGAUUGCGAAGGCAGCCUGCUAAGCUGCAACUGACAUUGAGGCUCGAAAGUGUGGGUAUCAAACAGGAUUAGAUACCCUGGUAGUCCACACGGUAAACGAUGAAUACUCGCUGUUUGCGAUAUACUGCAAGCGGCCAAGCGAAAGCGUUAAGUAUUCCACCUGGGGAGUACGUUCGCAAGAAUGAAACUCAAAGGAAUGGACGGGGACCCGCACAAGCGGUGGAGCAUGUGGUUUAAUUCGAAGCAACGCGAAGAACCUUACCAAGUCUUGACAUCCUUCUGACCGGAACUUAACCGUUCCUUCCCUUCGGGGCAGAAGUGACAGGUGGUGCAUGGUUGUCGUCAGCUCGUGCCGUGAGGUGUCGGCUUAAGUGCCAUAACGAGCGCAACCCUUGUUGUCAGUUACUAACAGGUUCCGCUGAGGACUCUGACAAGACUGCCAUCGUAAGAUGUGAGGAAGGUGGGGAUGACGUCAAAUCAGCACGGCCCUUACGUCCGGGGCUACACACGUGUUACAAUGGGGGGUACAGAGGGCCGCUACCACGCGAGUGGAUGCCAAUCCCCAAAACCUCUCUCAGUUCGGACUGGAGUCUGCAACCCGACUCCACGAAGCUGGAUUCGCUAGUAAUCGCGCAUCAGCCACGGCGCGGUGAAUACGUUCCCGGGCCUUGUACACACCGCCCGUCAAGCCAUGGGAGCCGGGGGUACCUGAAGUGCGUAACCGCGAGGAGCGCCCUAGGGUAAAACUGGUGACUGGGGCU
rnacentral:rRNA from 1 species